rnacentral:sRNA from 1 species
GUUAUCAACAGAGGAAUCUCCAAUGGUCCAGGUGAGCCUGGGAUGCAGGCACCCGUGGUCUCCACGUCCGGAUACAGCUUGUAAGAUUGAUUUCUGUGUUUCUCCAACUGACUCAAGUGGACAAAGUACCAGGAUUUUCCUGCCUUAGGCAAUCUCCGUACCGCUCAUCCUUACUGUAUCCUUCUUGUCUAACGACGGUUCCAGUCAUCCUGGAUGUGAAGAUGAAUCAGCUGGUCAUCUCCUGCUUCUGUACUCAGCAGAGGAGGACCCUGUUCGCUAUGGUGCCAACAACUGUGAGCAGCAGCCAAGGCAGGGGAGCCUGGGGGUGCGGAUCCUCUCCAGGAGAUCUAACAGAACUGCAAGUCUUCUCCACCAGCAGAUGGCGACUGAUAGACCACGCUAGAACAAGCCUUGCUUCAAGACCGAGGUCUGCGCAUGCUCCUUGAACACCAGGCUGCGGGCUGUUCCAGAUGUAUGCUAGAGUAAACAGCAUUGCAUUACUUCCCCGGUGUCCUCAUUUGGGACCUGAACCUCUGGUUUCUUGCUUCCAGGACAGAAGGGAGGAGCCAAGCUGACAGGAUUGCUGUGUUCUCUGCAAGAAUCAGUUGCCCAAGAUGCAGCUGUCACCUGAUUAUAAAUCUCCUAACACCUGGGGAGCAAGGCACAGGCCAUGGAUGAAGAUUUUCCCGGGUGGGGACACAAACAGGCUGAGCCUCUCCUGUUCUCCCUGGUCUAUCAACCUCACAGGCAGGUAACUGGCUCCACAGCACAAACAGCUUUCAGCAGGGGGAGGUAAAGAGAUAAGGGCGUCUUUCUCAAUUUCUCUGUUUCAGUUUCUCUGUGGUACACAGUUUAGGACAACUGUGCCUGCUUAGCGGCUUGGUGCGCUGGGGCAAGACCUUCUGCAGCCAGCUGGCUCUGCAUUUUAAAAGUCUCCCAGGCACUUAAAUCAGCCAAUCCUGGUUUGGCAACCACCACCCACCCUCCAAAAAUCACAAGCACGCUGGGGUUGGGGUGGGGAACAGUAUAAAUGUGUCAUUCCUAAAAACAGAAAGUAAAUGUUCCCACAGAAGAGGAAAUGGAGAGUCUGUCAGCAGCCAGGAAAAGGAAACCUAAGGCAGAUCAUGGCUGAGCAGAUGUAGAAGAGCCUAGACAAUUCAGUCACUGCAGGGUGAGGGCUGCUGGAUCACUGGGGAAGGUACUGGUCUGGCUUCUGAGUACUUGGGACAGGGCUCCCUGAGGAUGACCUCGUGCUGGUCCUGAUUGGACCUGGAUUUCCAGAGGACUGGAGUUCAUCUGCAUCCUGUCGGCCACAGUCAGGGAGUGGCUAAAAACACACAGACAAGCCCAGACACCACUGAGCUGCCUCCCUUCUAGCUGUGCUGGCCCUGGUCACCCUGACACCUUAAAACUGCCUGCAUUGAGCAAAGGGAAUUUCCCCUGCUGGCUCAGAAAUCUUGCAGAAACCUGGAGGCCCGGCUAAAGAGGACCUUGUGGCCAUUUACUGACAGAAAUCUGCCCCACCCAGAAGCAGCUGAUCUUGUUCUGAGACCAUAGCAGCGAGGAGCCUUUGAUCUCCAUCCUGGAUGAAUGUUAAUUCCAGAUAGAAGCCAUCCUUAGAUGGGAUGGGUGGUGGGUGUGUGGACGGCAGAUACAGAAAGGGGAUGACAGGAAGACCAACAGCAAUCCAGGCAGCAAAGCCUUGUAGUUGUCUGUAUGAGUCAGGACUACACAUAACGGGGCAAUCACACUCCGGGAUGCGUCCAGACCUGGAGACAUGUGGAACCCUCUGGUCAGGUUAUGGCUAUCCCUGCUCACCAAGUCUGGCAACUCAACAUCCAGCAGUGCCCUUGCACUAGUUAAGAAAAAGCAACUGAAUUUGCAAAAGGGAGCUGCAAUGUUGGCUGAAUGUAAGCAGCAGCAGAAUCAAUCCCAUCACUGCCAAGACACAGUUGCUGAUGCAGGAUUCUGAACUUCAGAGGAAACAAAGUAAUUCUCCCUGUGGAGACAUUGAACCUGAGAUCAAAGAAGCUUUGAGGAGAGAAAGAGGCUGAGAGCAGAACUGCACCAGGCCAUUCAGAAAGGGUAUCUUGAAGAGAACUCCUGGAAACUCAGAANGUUUGGUUGUAAAGCAAGGUAAGUUCAGUGGACAGUGAAGGAGCCUCGUAUGAAAUCCUCUCACAAAACUGUCUCUGAGCCCAAAAUCAAUGGUCUGCUUCCUGUCACAUAACACAAGAAAGGUCUUUCAGCAAUGUGACUAUCAUGCUUCUGUUUCAUGCUGCCCCGCCUUCUGUCUGUGGUGGUGAAGUCUAACCCCUGAGGUUCAAACUGCCUUAGAGGUUUGAAAGCCUGAGAUACAUUUCUUGUAUUUUUUAACUCCUGGUGAAGUGAAAACAAUGGACCUCCUCUUCCUGCUGCUGUGCUUGCCCUGCUGUGAUGGACUUCACUGGAACUCUCUUACCCAAAAGAAGUCUUUCUUGCAUUUUGGGGGUGUGAGGAAAGCAAAUAAACAUCGUUUGGGGUUUCGUUUGUUUGUUUUGUUUUGUUUUGUUUUUUAGAGCUUAAAAACAAAAUGACUAAAAGUGGUUGACUCUGUUUCUCCUAGGCCUGGAACCAGAAAUAACCUGAGAACUUGCUGGUGUUGCAGUCUUCCAAGAGCUGCAAGAAAUAUCCGGGUACCCAGAGGUGGUAGUGAAACUACAGCACCUCGAACACAUGCACCCUGAUUGUAAUUGAUAGCUAUAAGCAUGGAAGAUUUGUCAUUCUUUAUAAAUAUGUUGUUUCAUUCAUUCUUCCA